rnacentral:lncRNA from 1 species
AGAGCUGGACAUGGGAUUUCACAAUCCCAACAAUUAGUAUCAGAGCGCAGUUGACGAGAAAUUUGCAAGAAAGACCGAAAUACCCUUUGAAUGAUGAAUGAGUGAUGAAUGGGUAUCCUAUGAGUUAGGAAUGAGAGGUGUGUGGCAGAGAUCAAGUCAAAAUAUUCUGGAAGUCAGUUGUGGGACACGAGAUGAAUGUGAUCCUUAGUUUGAGGGGGAGAAUGUGAGAUGACAAACUAAGUCCCACAUUGGAGAAUUAGACAAGGAGUGUCUAAUAUAUAAAGAGAUGUCCAACUCUAAUAGUACGAGGCCUUUUGGGAUGAAAACCAAAAGUAAAUCCAUGCGGGCCUGCCUCUUAGGCCCAAAGUGGACAAUAUCGUAUUAAUCGGAUAAUAUAGAAUUGGACAUGGGAUUUCACAAUCCCAACAAUGUUUGCC